UUGCACUUUUUACAGUUUCUAGUCCUGUCUUUUUUUAGCAGGUAAUUUAUUUUCAUUGUGUUUUUACCAAAGUACUAGUUCCAGGUGGAUUGAGGACCAAAAUAACAGUAACAACAACGUUUCCUUGGCUGGAACCCUUUGCCGCAGAGCAAUUCAGUCACGUGACUGUCAGGGCCGCCCAACUUCUCUUGUUUCCUUCCCUGCCGCCUCCCUCUGGUCAGAGGCCCCCAGGUGGUCUCCGAGGUUUCAGGACCCCAGUCUUACUCCGUAUCCUCGGCUUUGAUGUGAAAAGACGAUGAUCUAUACUGUGGGCAUUAGCCUUUUGCUUUUCUACGAGGGCAUGCUGUGUGAAAAAGUGACCCAGAGUUCCCCAGGCAAUACUGUGGAAAGUGGCAGUCAGGUGACACUGCCCUGUACUUAUGACUCCAGAUACACAGAUCCAGAUUUAUACUGGUACCGCAUGAGGCCAGAUCGUUCCUUUCAGUUUAUCCUUUACAGGGAUAACAUUAGGGUCCUCGAUGCGGAUUUUACUCAGGGUCGGUUUUCUGUGCAGCGCAGUGAGACCCACAAAACCUUCAACUUGGUGAUCUCCUCAGUGAGGACUGAAGACAGAGCCACUUACUACUGUGCCAUAAAUCUCCACGGUGAUGCAGGUGCCCAGGAAGUCUGCACAUAAACCCCUGGGCGUGGCCUGGCAGAGCCGCCUCGUGUCCCUGGACAUGGCAGCCUUCUUCCUGGUGACACUGUGUUCCACCUGGCCUUCAGAGGUGCUCUAACAUGUCUGCUAAAUAAUAAAAUGCCCGUCCU